UUUAUUGUAGUCUAGUUGGUUAGGAUACUUGGAUAUCACCUGAGAGACCCGGGUUCAAGUCCCAACAAUGGAA
rnacentral:tRNA from 1 species